GAACCUGCAUCUUCUGCAUUGGCAGGCAGAUUCUUUACCACUGGCCUCACCUGGGAAGCCCCACUGGUAAAGGAGCUGUUAAAGGGGCAUACAACCCUCACUGAGUCGCUCUGGGGAUUACAUGAGAUGAUGCAUGUGACAUGCUUGGCACAGAGCCUGACACGGAGCAGCCCCAGAUGAAGGUUAAUUACUAUUGUCACAAGCACUUACAUGUGUAGUGAGUUGUGUAAAUGAAGAGAGCUUAGAGAGCAGAGCCUGGGAGCUCCCGGCAGGGUCAUCGCCUACCUUUCCAGUAACAGUGGCCCUGUAGGGUAAAGGCAAAUAUCAUCAGACUUGCCACCAUCACUCUCUUUCAGUAAAAUCGUGGUCAUCAAGGAUCCACAGCAUUGCUGCAAUCUCCUGACCACAUGGGCAGUACUGAAAGGAAGGACGAGGCAGAACGUUAAUAUCUCUCCCAGAAAAAUAUAUGGUCUAGAAGGCUAUAAACAGAGAGGGGUGACUGGUCCGCCAGCCACAUUUUGACUUCGCGGAAAAGGUUAAGAGACUGCACAGUGAAGCACAGUGUCUGGAGGAGGAGAGGAGCCACCGCGGCAGUCUGGAGGAGAGAGGGGAAUGGGAGAUGACGGCGCUGCCCCACCUUGAACCCCUGGUCCUGAGCCAGGCGCGGCCCUUCUGCCGGCCUAUUCAUUCCAAGCACCAACAUCUGCCCUGAAUGCUUCAAGGUAAUUAGCACCACAUGUUAUCAACAGGAAGCUGGUACCCACGGGCACUUGAGAUAAUUGUUUCAGCACCGGCACGUCUCUGCCUACCGUGAAAGGUCACUGCAGCCAAUAUAUUCCCACCACCCCCAUCCCUCUCGUCAAAUGAAAAAAGCUGUCCCCAUGACUGCAGUUCUAUCAGUUCUUUGGUGCCGGGCUCAAGGCACCCAUACAAAGGCUUCUCAGAGGGACAUGUGCUCCAGGAGUUUGUAGCGAAUACUUCCUCUGACAUCGCAGCAUGGCCAUCCCCUCAUAUAGGCAGUAGUUGAGGAACACAGCCAGGUUUCGUGUGUCUGGGACCUGAUGUGCUCAGAAGAAGAAAAUACAAUUGCAUUAGAUGACUGUGACCAAAACUGCUCAGGACCCCUGCCAAAGUCCGAGGAAGCAUCUUCCAGAGAGCCAGUAGAAGUGGAAAUCUCAGUGCCCUGGCCAGUCCUGCUCCAGGAAGGUGACUGAGCCGCAGUCUCCUUCCUCUAGAUCUGUGUCCCCUCUCCUGUUCUCUUUUCCCUGACCUCACCCUCUUAAUACAUCCUCCUCUGGGUCUCACCUUAGCCAGCGCUCACCCCCGAAUCUCUCAUAACCCUCAGUCUCUCCAGCCUUGUCUGUCCCACCCCAAUCCCUCC